ACCUAAUAGAUACCCAGGUAGUCCACGCCCUAAACGAUGCGAACUGGAUGUUGGGUACAUUACGGUACUCAGUGUCGAAAGCUAAACGCGUUAAGUUCGCCGCCUGGGGAGUACGGUCGCAAGACUGAGACUCAAAGGAAUUGACGGGGGCCCGGCACAAGCGGUGGAGUAUGUGGUUUAAAUUACGAUGCAACGCGAAGAACCUUACCUGGCCUUGACAUCUGUCGAAUCCUGCAGAGAUGCGGGAGGUGCCGCAAGGAACGACAAGACAGGUGCUGCAUGGCUGUCGUCAGCUCGUGUCGUGAGAUGUUGGGUUUAAGUCCCGCAACGAGCGCAACCCUUGUCCCUAGUUGCCAGCACAUCAUGGUGGGAACUCUAGGGAGACUGCCGGUGACAAACCGGAGG
rnacentral:rRNA from 1 species